GUGCCCAAGAUAGAAAUGGUGACGUCAUGAAACUCCGACUGGAAAAGUCGGGAACUUACUCACUAGUGGUGUCUCGUGGUUUCCGAAGAGAAGAAGAUUGUGAAAAUGUAAAUGAUAAUAAUGGAGAUUCCAGAAAAGAUACAGAGGAAGUGUUUGUGUAAUGUCCUGUAUAUUCAUAGUGAAGUGUGUAUACUAACGUGCUGAAAGGAAAAGUAUACACUGCCGUGUGACGUAUGGGGGAGCACGUGACCACACAUCUGGUCACUUACCUUACCCGUAGUGCCCACCCACGUUAAAAGGGCCCGAUGAUAUCCCAAAUCUCAGAUAUUUAUCUUGUGCAACCCAAUGGUUUGUAACCAGCUACCGAGAGUCCUUUUGGAUCCACAAAUUGGUUACUUUAGUCCCGUGGGGUCUUAAUGAGAAGAUCGAAAAUGUCUGGUAAUAUAACUGUCUUUUUUAAAGAUACGUGGACGACAUGUUGAUUGUGUGGGAAGGAGAAGAAACCCAGUUUAUCGACUUCAUCUCCUAUUUGAACGACUAUAACCGUAUGAAUAUGCGAUUUACUUAUACGUUUGGGGGAACAAAGAUUCAAUUUUUGGACAUGACUCUAUACGUAGAAGGUGACAAUCUGCUUACGAAGGGCUAUCGGAAAGCCAUAGCUAAAAAUUCCAUUUUACAUUAAAACAGUUCACACCCUAAGCAAGUAAACAAUUCCAUCCCAUAUAGUCAAUUCCUCCGACUUAAGAGGAAUAAUGAAGACCCUCGGGUUUAUACAGAACAAGCUAUUGAGCUUGCUUCCAGAUUGGAAAGAAGAAGAUACCCCCAUAGUGUGAUCAACAAGGGGUUAAAAAAGGCUGAAUUGGUAUCCAGAAAUUCUCUACUUGCCUCUUCUAAAAGGAAAAAGGGUGCAGUUCAGGAUAAACGAUUGGUAUUUGCUUUUAAGAACAGUUCUAUGAACUCCAUGAUUAGAACAGCUAUCGUGAGAAAUUGGCAUAUGCUGAAAAGUGACAGUGAUCUGGUAGAAGUCGCAAGAAGAAAACCUAUCGUGACGUAUCGCAGGAAUAAAUCGGUGAAAUAUUGAAUUUCAACAGCACAAGGGCCAUUAAAAAACUGGAAGAAAAUGGGCUCAAAAGUUUUAUUCCUAAAGGAAAUAAAA